rnacentral:misc_RNA from 1 species
GAUGAAGAACGCAGCGAAAUGCGAUAAGUAAUGUGAAUUGCAGAAUUCAGUGAAUCAUCGAAUCUUUGAACGCACAUUGCGCCCGCCAGUAUUCUGGCGGGCAUGCCUGUUCGAGCGUCAUUUCAACCAUCAAGCCCCCGGCUUGUGUUGGGGACCUGCGGCUGCCGCAGGCCCUGAAAACCAGUGGCGGGCUCGCUAGUCACUCCGAGCGUAGUAAUACAUCUCGCUCAGGGCGUGCUGCGGGUUCCGGCCGUUAAAAAGCCUUAUUUACCCAAGGUUGACCUCGGAUCAGGUAGGAAGACCCGCUGAACUUAAGCAUAUCAAUAAGCGGGGA